UACGAAGGGGGCUAGCGUUGCUCGGAAUCACUGGGCGUAAAGCGCACGUAGGCGGGUCGUUAAGUCGGGGGUGAAAUCCUGGAGCUCAACUCCAGAACUGCCUUCGAUACUGGCGAUCUUGAGUCUGGGAGAGGUGAGUGGAACUCCGAGUGUAGAGGUGAAAUUCGUAGAUAUUCGGAAGAACACCAGUGGCGAAGGCGGCUCACUGGCCCGGUACUGACGCUGAGAUACGAAAGCGUGGGGAGCAAACAGG
rnacentral:rRNA from 1 species